rnacentral:rRNA from 1 species
UACGAAGGGGGCUAGCGUUGUUCGGAUUUACUGGGCGUAAAGCGCACGUAGGCGGAUCGUUAAGUCGGGGGUGAAAUCCUGGAGCUCAACUCCAGAACUGCCUUCGAUACUGGCGAUCUUGAGUCCGGAAGAGGUGAGUGGAACUCCUAGUGUAGAGGUGGAAUUCGUAGAUAUUAGGAAGAACACCAGUGGCGAAGGCGGCUCACU